GGACACGUUACAAGAUCUGCGGUGGUCCUGGGCGCCAUUGGAUACUUUACUGCAACGUUAUUCACACGAAGCAUGCAUCCUGUGGAGCCUUCGUUCUCUUCACAAGUUUGGGCCACCACACGGGCGCUGUUGGUCGUUGAUGCGGCCGAAGCGACAUGCGGCCACCGGUUGAUGGCUAGUAAGGGCUAGUAAGUCUAUCCCCGGGUCGUCGGCAAUCUCGUAACCGACCUUUGUCCUCGGUACCUAGGGCCCCUUAUUGUCCUUUCUUGAGGUGACACACACAGGCACACACACACACAGGCACACACACACACACACACACACACAUCACACACAAACACCCUUUGGCCAGGCUGCAACCUUUUUUGGCCCGCAAAUCAUAAAACCCUUAAGCCAAAAACGGGCAGGUGCAGUUUGUCUAUUGCACCUGCAUACACAUAUAUACACAUACAGAUAUACCUACAUAUUUACAUUCGCAUUACAACCAACUUUUCAAGAACACAGGGCAAGGCAAGCUGUUACAUGAUGUUGUACCGGCCAGUAGUAACAUGUGGGCCCCCACUGCCGAUGUCCGAAAUGCAAAGGGACGCGCAUGGGAGCUAGCUUGGGUGUAUUUCGGAGCAGCAGAGUCUAAGAUUAUGAGGUGAGGGCCCCUCAGCAGCCGAAAGCCAAAGGGUGCACAAGCUUGUGGGUUGCGGAGGGCCAAUCUCGGACCGGGUUGCGACUGGGGGUUGCUUGUUGCUGGUCGGAUAGCAGUAGGCCGUCGAUCUGCGGGUGGCCGCAUGUCCCACGUGAGGUACGUCCUCCUUUUGCGCGGUCUAUCCAUUUUGAGCCUCUGAAACUGCAGGUCGUGGUUGCAAUGCCCACCGGACUUGUGGAAUUGUGGGUAAUUCAAGGGAAUGGUCAGACGGGGAGGGAGGGAGGGAUGGCCGCGCUAGGAGCGCGGCUGUAACGUCGAGUGGUUUCGAGCGCUAUUGGUUUUAACAGCACAGCAGCAACGUGCGUGGUUCCAAUGCAAGUGGCUUGUCGAGGUGUGAAAUAUUGGUGAUGGGAAAUAUGCAGACGCCACAACUGGAAUUGUUAGACCUACAAAAGAUCAGCACUAUAUCAGUUAUGUAUAUAUGUGAGGGUUACGUGCGCAAGAUGAGGAGUCGGGUAGCCCACGAGAAACAUGUGGUUUCUCUUGGGAUGUCCACCUUCUGCCCACUCCGGCAAGUCCAUUACAUAGAAGCUUUCUUAAAGUCCAUUCCAUAAACUUAUGUACAAGGAGCGAGACGCAAUUGCAGCGCUAGGAUGCGCUUAGGUACCGCAUGUUAGGCGAGACGACGUAGCGAAAGAUCGUAAUCAGCGGAACAAUAAGUCUUGCAGCACGUAGCUUAAUAUGUAUGGAAUGUAUAUAUUGCAUCCAUGCCGUUUCAGCGUGGUCACCAUGUCUA
rnacentral:lncRNA from 1 species